AUGUAUUGCUUGUUGAGGAGAAAUAAAAUGAAUAUGUGAAUCAAUCGUUCCAGGAGUACAAAUUGUAUGCUCGCCAGCAAUUAUCUCAGUGUUUGAGGAAAUUAUCAUAUCAAUUUCAUCCAUGAUAUCAGGGUUGCCAGCAUUUCCGACACCAAUAAUUUUUCCAUCUUUUAUUCCAAUAUCCGCUUUGACAAUUCCCAAAAUAGGAUCCAUCACUAUUGCAUUAGUAAUCACAAGAUCAAGUGAUUUUGUUCUAGGUACUCCACUUGCUUGUCCUUGUCCAU
rnacentral:sRNA from 1 species